rnacentral:lncRNA from 1 species
UUUUUUACAACAUUAACUUCUGUGCAAUCUAUUUUCUGCAAUCUUUAAUUUCUGUGUAGAAUUUUCUGCAUCUUUAAAAUUUAUGCAAAAAACUCCUACACUUUUAAAAGGUGUGCAGAAAUUAUUGUUACUUUAAAAACUGUGCAUAUUAUCAACUGUUCUCAAAAUAUAUAGUGUUGCUUUGAAAAAUGUACAGAAAUUACAAAGUUACAUUACUUGUUAUAUUUCUU